rnacentral:lncRNA from 1 species
UUGUGUUUAGCACUAAUAAAGAAUGCUGUCAAGCGGCUUUUUAAAAAAGUCCAGUUGUACUGAAUUUACUUGAUUCCUGUUCUAUCUAGUUCAAUAGCAAUUUAAUUUUAAGAAGUAAUCAAAUAUGUUUGACAUGAUUUAUUUUCACAAACCUAUACUGUCUCCUACCAAUUAAAUUGCACUUUUCCAAAUUUAAUGCUGAGCAGNNNNNNNNNNNNNNNNCCAAACUCUCCUCCCAAUGAAAACAACAGAAUUACCUUGGUCUACAGUCAUUCAUUCUUUAUUAAAAAAUAAUGGGAUGUUAUUUUCAGGUUUAUAAUCAUUCAUUAAAUCUUCCAAUUCACUCCUAAAAGCAGAUGCAAUAAAUGUUACCAAGUGAAAUGAUAGAUUCUCUAAUCAGGCUCAUCCCCACCCCAGAGGCAGUCCAUUAAUACAAGGUGUUUUGUCUAAUUAUAUCCUCUCUAAAGCAUUGUAAUACAUCUGUAGGAUUGGCUGUCUCAUGGUUUCUUUUUAAGGUGAGCAAAUAUAUUGCUUCCUGUUGUGAAAGAAGAGUAUGAUGGAAAGGGAUUAUGCAUAACCACUUCUCUUCACUAAUUAAUACCUUGGCUAUAGCACGUCUUCUGUAAAACUUGAAUCUCUUUGCCCUCGUUCAAAGCCAGUUCCGGAAUCUGGCUGCGUUUCAGAUCUAGUUACAUAUGUUGCUCAUCUUUGUAUCAGGGAAGAGUUGGAGAAGCAGUUUUGGCAUGAAAGAGUAUGGAUGAAGGAUUCACAAAGCUCUCUACAUGGUGAUUUUUCAACGGCCACAAAUAGAAAUCAGGAGAUUCUGCCUGCAGCAUUUACUGUGAGCCAGGGUCUAUGAUGGGGGCUUUAAAUAGGGAAAGUAUCGCUGAGAAAAGUUAAGUAAUUUCCUUAGUAAUAAAAUGAAGAAGCAGAUAGACACUGGAUUCAAACAAGGUUCUGUUCAAAGUUCAUAAGGCUUCCAUCACACCAUGCUGUUCUUUCUGCACCACUCUCUUCAUGAUCCCUUUUAGUAUUCAGUUCAGUUCAGUUCAGUCGCUCUGUCGCGUCCAACUCUGCAACCCCAUGAAUCGCAGCACUCCAGGCCUCCCUGUCCAUCACC